UCACCGACUUGAUGGACAUGGGUUUGGGUAAACUCUGCGAGUUGUUGAUGGACAGGGAGGCCUGGCGUGCUGCGAUUCAUGGGGUCACAUAGAGUCGGACACAACUGAGCAACUGAACUGAACAUGCAUCGAGGUGAGAAUGGGGCCUGAGUCCCUUCCCAUUCUGUUUCUUUGUCCCCUCUCCUGUGGUCCAGAUGAAACAAUAAAGAAGUCCAACAAGAGAAAGUGAAAUCACUCCUUUUGUUAAAGACUUGGUAGCAGCCCAAGUACUCAAGCCAUUUCCCAGCAUAACAUUGCAGCCUGCCUGACACAGCCACCCAGUACUCCAGUUGGCUCCUAGGCUCUUCUUGAAACUGAAUGCCUGACCCCUGGAGGCCUUGGGAGUCACUGAUGUCACUGAUGUGACAUCUCCACUUUGGGGUGGGUUGCCUAGUAACCAACAUGGACCCAACAGGCCUUGCAAGUCAAACAAACGGUAAGUUAGAGAGCAUAGCCAACCUGACUGCUGCAACAAGUAUUUUGACUACGUGAAAAAUCAGUAGCUAUCUUUGGGGGAUAUUUUGUAUAUAUCUUCAUUUACUAAAGAAAAACCACUGGCUUCCUCAGGGGUCUCAGUCCACAAAAUGCCUGGGUUUGGUUCAGUUGUUUAUUAGCAACUUUAGGAAAGCCCAGCAAUAUUUUCCUAUAGCUGUAAAUAAUUCUGAAAUUGUGAAGUAUUCUAAAAAUAUGGCAAGGCAAAGGAACUGAAACAGCUAAAACUAUUUUGAAAAGGAAAAAGUGGGAAAAGUCAUUCUACCCAUUUGCAAAACUACAGUAAUCAAAACUGAUACUGACGGAGGGAUAGACACACACAUUGAUAGAAUGGAGAAUCAAAAAUAGCCUCCUUCCCAUAUCAUCAACUGAUUUUGACAAAUGUACAACGAUGCUACAACAGAGGAGGGACGGUGCUGGUAAAUAAGGCAGGCAAAAAUAUGAACCACUGAAUCACACACUAUACAAAACUUGAACUAGAUCAUAGAUAAUAUAAAACUUUUGAAAAAAAACCAGAAAAAAUAACAAUAUCUUUACAUUCUAGGUUAAGCAAAGGAUCUUACACUUGGUACCAAAAGCAUGAUCCAUAAAAGGAAAAAUUUAUAAGUUGGACCUAAUCAAAAUGUAAAGCUUUGUUCUGCAAAAGACCUUAUGAAGAAGAUGAAAAAGUCGAGCUAUAGACUGCGAGAAAAUGUUUGCGAACCACAUAUCUAGAAUAUAUAAAGAACUCUCUAAACAGUAAAAAGAUAGACAAUCCAAUAUAAAAUGGAAAAAAGACAUUUCACCAAAGAAGACGUAUGUAUGGCUAACAAAUAAGCACCUGAAAAAAAUGUUAACAUCCCUACUGAGUAGGAAAUGCGUGUUUAAACCAUAGUGAGACACGCUACUGGAGAAGGAAAUGGCAACCCACUCCAGUAUUCUUGCUUGGAGAACUCCAUGGACAGAGGAGCCUGGCGAGCUAUAGUCUAUGAGGUCUCAGAGUCAAACACGACUGCGGGAUUAACACAAGGCACACUACACACGUAUCAGGAUGGCUCAAGUGGUUAGUAGUAUCAACACCAAGUGCUGCCAAGGAUGCAGCUGGAUCACUCAUACACUGCCUGUGGGGAUGUAAGACAGUACAGCCUCCCUGGGAAAUAGCUGAAUAGUUUUGCUAAAAACCAACUACACUAACCAUAUGACCAAGCAUCAACUGUUGGACACUGAUGACAGAGAAGUGAAAAUUUAGGUCCACAAAACCUGUACACAAUUGUUCAUAGCAGACUGAAGUCCACCAGAAUGUCUUGUAUUAAUGGCAUGCUUUACUGCAGUAAAUGGAAUAUUUAAAGGAUGAACUAGUGACACAGCUUGUAACAACUGGAAUGGAUCUCAGGGGCGUUCUGAGUUAAAAUCAUCUCAAAAUGUCGCACACUGUAUGGCUUCAUCCAUUUAACAUUUUUAAACGACAGGUGGUUACCACGAGUCAGGGAUGUUGGAGGGCAAGGGAGGUGUGUGUGUCUAUCUAAAGGGAUAGAAAGAGGACCUCUGUGGUGAUGGUGCAGUCUGCAUCUUGGUUACCAUAGGGGCUACAUGAGUGUACGUGUGAUAAAGUGACAGCUAUACAUAGAUAACACCCAGUGUCGGUUCGCUGGUUUUGAUAUUGUACAUUAUGUAAGAGAGAACCACUAGGGGGCAAGAGUACACUCUCUGAAGUACCUUUGCAACUUCCUGUAAAUCUAUAAUUAUUUCAAAAUAAAAUUUUAAAAAUCUAAAAGGUAACAGGCUAAACUUGGCAUGUGUUGUCCAUUUGCUGACCCCUGCUUUAGCGCAACAAUCAGAUAAACGUUUCCUUAGUGCAUUAUGAGUUAUCAGAGUCCUACAACUUGCAAACCAUUGAUGAUUUUACAUUUUCAGCAGUUCAUUCGUUUCAAGGACUUUGAUUAAGCAAAAGAUACCAGAACUGCCAACAUUUGUGUCAAACGCAUGGCAUGGCAUUUGGGCCAUUGAUAUUCUUUAAGUGACAUACCAGUGUUAGAAGUGCCAUGGCUAACAGCAUACUAGCCUUUAACAUGAGUAGUUUCACCAGGGUUCAUUUGUGUAUGAUAGAUUUGCUCAGCAAACCAUGCCUAAAGCUAAAUGAGGGAAUACCCAUUUGGGAUAACACAAAGAACAAAAGUUAAAAGUAAAUUAUAGGCCCAGCAUUUGUGGGCAUUAUGAAAGUAUAACCUAAAUUUUUCUAUGGAUUCUUUUUCUUUAAGCUUCCAUUGCCACAUUCCGGACACCUUGGGUUGAUUUACAGAUGUGCUACCCAUCACGGGCAAAUCAUGGACUGUCUUCUCAAAAGAUGAAUUUCUAUCAUUGAGAGCAAAGUAAUUACUCAUUUCAUAGGCUGACCCUAAAAGAGGUUACAUCAAUCUUCAGGACUUUGCUGGUAAUAAGAGCACAAACACUAUAAAGAAAUUCUACCGCAGGAGUGGAGAUAUGGCUAAUUUGGAGCAGGUCAUCAAAUUCAGCACACCAAGAGAAUAAAGUACCAGGUCACCGAGGCUGGUUCUUGGGCCGGAAGCAUCGGCAGUGCCUGGGAAGUGAACGUUACUGAGCCCCAGCCCAGACCUUGUCUUCACAAUUCCAGGCGUGGCGUUCAGCAGUCUACGUUUCACAAGCUCUCCAGGUGACCCUGAUGUCUGCCAAGAAAAUGCAUCUAGAGCUGAGCUUUCAAUAUACAUGUCUAAUAAACACUGGAAAUAGAGCUACUUCAAACUGAGAUGGCUGCAAGUAGAAAGUACACACUGGAUUUGAAUUUUAGUUUGGAAAAAAAAAGAAUGUAAAAUGACUACUUUUGUUAUAUUGAUUAAAUGUUGAAAUAAUAACCCUUCAUAUAUAUUGGGUUAAAUGAAAUAUAUCAUUCAAAUUAAUUUUACCUGUUUCCUUUUACUUAAAAUUUUUUCUGAUGCGGACCAUCUUUGUAAGUCUUUAUUGAAUUUUGUUACAGUAUUGCUUCUGCUUUAUGUUUUCUCUUUUGUAUGCGAGGUGUGUGAGAUCCCAGGUCCCUGACCAGAGAUGGAACCCACACCCCCUGCACGGGAAGGCGAAGUCUUAACCACUGGGCCUCCAGGGAAGCCCCUCUUAUGUUUUUAGCAAGGUCACUAGGAAAGCCAGAAGGCAGAAGACGAGUGCUUGGUGGAGGUGAGGCCCACAGAAAGCAGCCAGCCAGGGGGAGGAGGAAGCAGGGUGGGUCAGGACGGGCAGAGGAAGAUAAUCACACACUGCCUAUGACAGAAAGCUGCUUCAAAAAUACGUACUUUUGUUUGAAGAGCAAAUAAACUGAGUGAUAGCGUCACCAGAGCAGUCGCUCCUGUUGCCCAUAACACUUCCUCGACGUGAUAGAAGCUAAAACCAGAGACUGUGAUUAUCAUUCACGUAACAUUACAAGAAAAGCACGCACACACAAAUGAAAAGAUGUGUAUCAAAGACUUACACUGACACGGUUCCUAGCAGCAAACCUUGAAGAACUGUCUAAAAAACAAAAUUCACAAUAAAUCAGAAGCCUGCUUCCCAAGGCGCCAAAUCCAGAAGAGCCGCUUUGAGGUAUGUGUGUUCUGCCAGGUUAGAGGGAACUAGCAGGAAUAUUCAUGAUCUUAGCGCACAAAGCUAUAGGCUAUGCCACAUGGAAAUAAUGGAAAUAAACAUUUUCUUAAUGUUCUCCCUAAGACUGACAAGAAAAAAUUCUCAUAUGAGUAAAAAGUUCUUAGAAUACAAUAGUAACUUUCAACAUAUUCAGUGAGUUAAACUGAAGGUGAAGGUGAAGUCACUCAGUCGCGUCCGACUCUUUGCAACCCCGUGGACUGUAGCCUACCAGGCUCCUCCCUCCAUGGGAUUCUCCAGGCAAGAGUACUGGAGUGGG